AUUGAACGCUGGCGGCAUGCCUUACACAUGCAAGUCGAACGGUAACGCGGGGCAACCUGGCGACGAGUGGCGAACGGGUGAGUAAAGCAUCGGAACGUGCCCAGUAGUGGGGGAUAGCCCGGCGAAAGCCGGAUUAAUACCGCAUACGACCUAAGGGUGAAAGGGGGGGAUCGCAAGACAUCUCGCUAUUGGAGAGGCGGAUGUCAGAUUAGCUAGUUGGGGGGGUAAAAGCUCACCAAGGCGACGAUCUGUAGCUGGUCUGAGAGGAAUACCACCCACACUGGGACUGAGACACGGCCCAGACUCCUACGGGAGGCAGCAGUGGGGAAUUUUGGACAAUGGACGAAAGUCUGAUCCAGCCAUGCCGCGUGCGGGAAGAAGGCCUUCGGGUUGUAAACCGCUUUUGUCAGGGAAGAAAUCCUUUGAGCUAAUACCUCGGGGGGAUGACGGUACCUGAAGAAUAAGCACCGGCUAACUACGUGCCAGCCGCCGCAGUAA
rnacentral:rRNA from 1 species